GGGGAAUUUUGGACAAUGGGCGCAAGCCUGAUCCAGCCAUGCCGCGUGCAGGAUGAAGGCCUUCGGGUUGUAAACUGCUUUUGUACGGAACGAAAAGGUUCUUUCUAAUAAAGAGGACUGAUGACGGUACCGUAAGAAUAAGCACCGGCUAACUACGUGCCAGCAGCCGCGGUAAUACGUAGGGUGCGAGCGUUAAUCGGAAUUACUGGGCGUAAAGCGUGCGCAGGCGGUGAUGUAAGACAGAUGUGAAAUCCCCGGGCUUAACCUGGGAACUGCAUUUGUGACUGCAUUGCUGGAGUGCGGCAGAGGGGGAUGGAAUUCCGCGUGUAGCAGUGAAAUGCGUAGAUAUGCGGAGGAACACCGAUGGCGAAGGCAAUCCCCUGGGCCUGCACUGACGCUCAUGCACGAAAGCGUGGGGAGCAAAC
rnacentral:rRNA from 1 species